rnacentral:lncRNA from 10 species
CUGUGUUUGUGCCACGGCACUCAGCCUGGGCAACAGGAGUGAGACCCCAUCUUAAAAACAGGAAAAAAAAAAGUUGAAAGAUGAAAGUCUUUUUUAGGGAAGGAUGUUAAGUACAGUUCACUAGAUGGGAUCCUAGUUUGGAGUCUGAUCUCUGGGUGGGCCUGCAGGGAAGCUGACAGUGGCACAAAUCAAGGCAGGUUACCAGUCUCUUAAGAAGAUUGAGGAUUGUAUUCGGGCUGGCCAGCAUGGACGAGCUCUCAUGGAAGCAUGCAAUGAAUUCUACACCAGGAUUCCGCAUGACUUUGGACUCCGUACUCCUCCACUAAUCCGGACACAGAAGGAACUGUCAGAAAAAAUACAAUUACUAGAGGCUUUGGGAGACAUUGAAAUUGCUAUUAAGCUGGUGAAAACAGAGCUACAAAGCCCAGA